CCUACGGGUGGCAGCAGUGAGGAAUAUUGGUCAAUGGACGAAAGUCUGAACCAGCCAUGCCGCGUGCAGGAUGACGGCCCUAUGGGUUGUAAACUGCUUUUAUACAGGAAGAAACCCUCGUUCGUGAACGAGGCUGACGGUACUGUAAGAAUAAGGACCGGCUAACUCCGUGCCAGCAGCCGCGGUAAUACGGAGGGUCCAAGCGUUAUCCGGAUUUAUUGGGUUUAAAGGGUACGUAGGCGGAAAAUUAAGUCAGUAGUGAAAGCCUCCCGCUUAACGGGAGAACUGCUAUUGAUACUGGUUUUCUUGAAUAUAGUUGAAGUAGGCGGAAUACGACAUGUAGCGGUGAAAUGCAUAGAUAUGUCGUGGAACACCGAUUGCGAAGGCAGCUUACUAAGCUAUUAUUGACGCUGAUGUACGAAAGCGUGGGGAGCGAACAG
rnacentral:rRNA from 1 species